AAAUGCCCUGCUGGUGUGAACUCCUGACUCCAAGCUCUCACAAGUUCUCCUGGGAAGCAGUAUGGCAAUGCCUUUGGCAGCGUGAACAUGAAAGCAAGGUCUGCAACCAACCUCUGUCGCGUUUGGUGAUUGCCUUUGAGCAGAGGGUGCUCAAAAACGUGGAUUCUCCUGCUGCCCUGUAGCAGCAGUUCUGCUCUCAGUGGUCUACUCUCACCUCACCCAGCACUGGUGCUGCCUUCAGCACGAAGUGCUAAACUCCCGUCUGAACUUUAAAGAGAAAGCACAGAGCAGACCAGAGGGCAGGCAGAAUGAUGCUAUGUUUAGGACUGAGUACCAGGCUGAGGAGCUGGAAUGCUUCAUUCCAUCACAGGCAUUGAUAGCUGGGACCUCAGCCUGAUCGACUGAGACCCAGCUUCUGAACGUCUUCAGCAUGAACCUUCCAGAGGACAUAAAAGGGCUCGAUGAGAUAAGAAAUGAGCUAUCGAGUGCUGCUCUUGAGACUUCAUCCUCAACUCCUUGAAGUCAACAGAAAGCUACUGAGAGUCUUCAGUGGGCUUUGGAUCAGACGUUCGGUGUGUUAACGAGUUGGCCAAAGGAGCACUUCAGAGGUGAGCAGGUCGGUGGACUUCACGGAAUAUGGUACCAUCCAAUGAAAAGGAAAGAAAUACAAACAGGCCCAGAAUUGGUCUGGUGGUUGGGCAACCCUGCCCAUGGCAGAGGGGUUGAAACGAGAUGAUCUUUGAUGUCCUUUUCAACCCAGGCCAUUCUACGAUUCUAUGAUGAUCAAAUGGAGAAGCACUGCUGCCCAACGGGGGACUGUAAGCCUUUGGAAGACUCAGCCCCAGCAGCGUCGUUUGGGAGUGGGCAGGAGUUGAGUGCUCCGAGCGCAGAGUGCUCCGCGGUCACCUGGGGAUGAGGAUCAGCCUUUCCUCAUGGGCUGUGGGACCAGCGACCUCUGCUGC